UAUAUACAGAUGAAUAGCAGAAGUGCCGGGACUUCCCAACUGAACAAAGGCUUCAAAUAUUAUAGUGAAGGGUUCAUUUAUAAUUUGCGAAGUCACCUUAGAGAGCAGUCCAGUGGUUAAAGUGGUCAGCGCCAGCUGCAGCUGUGCCAUAGGUCAGAGCCAGUGUUGUGGUCAUGUGACAGGUGUUUUAUAUCUGGUGGCCCACUAUAAGCAGAGAGGAAUGAAGUCCAUCCCACAGGAUAUUGCCAAGACCUCCAUGCCACAGACAUGGCACAUCCCUCGCCAGGACAAAAUAUCCGGUAUGUCAGUACCAGAGAUAAAGGUUUCUGGAUACAAGAGUGAUGGAGAGGACAGGCCAGUGAAAUCAACCCUUUACAACCCCAUUAGGUCUACCCUUCCACCAUUGGAACCA